rnacentral:rRNA from 1 species
UACGUAGGGUGCGAGCGUUAAUCGGAAUUACUGGGCGUAAAGCGUGCGCAGGCGGUUUUGUAAGCCAGAUGUGAAAUCCCCGGGCUCAACCUGGGAAUGGCAUUUGGGACUGCAAGGCUCGAGUGCGGCAGAGGAGACUGGAAUUCCUGGUGUAGCAGUGAAAUGCGUAGAUAUUGGGAGGAACACCAGUGGCGAAGGCGGCUACCUGGACCGGUUCUGACGCUGAGGCGCGAAAGCGUGGGUAGCAAACAGG